ensembl:lncRNA
UGAUAUAUAUUUUCGCCCAUUUAUUUUAUUGCUUCUUGCUUUUUGACAUAACUAAAACAAUUAUGUUUUUUUUUUUUUAUCUGGGGUAGUAGCCUAAUAUUUUAGUUAUUUUUUUUAUUUAAUUUAUAUAUCUUUGGCCAUUUAUUUUAGCUUACAGCCUUUUGACAUUUAACAUAACUAAAACAAUGUAUGUUUUGAGGUUUCUUUCUAGCUAUAGUUUGUUUACAUAUUCUACAUCCCCAAUCCAACAUCCUCUCCCAUUUGUAAUUAUGUACAUUGAUGUCUUGAGAUGUGCAGAUGUGUUCCUUCUUCGUGCCCACGCGCUGUAGAGCUGCUCAAGCGCUUUAACAUGAUGGUGUGUUAAUAGUGAACAGGUAUGAUGCGCGCGCGCGGCGGGAGGUGAUGGUGGUGGUCAUGUGACGCGGCUCUCGUGAAGGUGGCACACAGACACAGGGAAGAGCGCGACACUUCAUACACCUCUCUCCAACCGAGUUCAACACAACAGCACACAAUCAUGUCUAUUAGCCGGAAAAACUGGUCUGCUUUGUCAACGCUGGCUCGACAGUGGACUGUGGAGGAUGAGGAAGAGGUGGAGAGAGAGAAGAGGAGGAAGACAAGGGAGUCUACAGCAGACUCGGAUGAAAGUCCCACUGAAGAUACCAAACCACAAACCAGUAGUGUUAGCGGGCCUGCUGAUGCUGGCGACUCCAGCGGUGGGGUGGCCCAGCUGCAGAUGGACUUUGUGGAGAUGUUGCGAGUCCGUGAUGAACGGAGGAGGAUGAGGCACGUUGAAACCCUGAGGAAGAAUAAGGAGGAAGAUGAUGGGGGCAAAGAGACCGGCCCGGAUGUGGAGCCCCAUGUGGAGCUGCUGGGGGAAGAGCAGGACGAGGAACUCUUCAAGAACAUUCAGCGCUGCGUGGAGACCUUCAUGUCACCAGAACCUCCCAUCAACUCCAAAGACUCAGAGACACACGAGAAGGAAGAAAAUGGAGGCACGAACCAAGAUUCAACAUCAACAAACUCCCAACACCCCUCAAAAGCAUCCAGAAAGUUUGUGAGCUCUCUCUCCAUCUCCUUUGAUAAGAGUCCCACAUCACCCCCAGCAACCAGCAGACUGGUUUCUCCUCUGAGCCCCAAGUCUCCGCCCCCUCAGUCCCCGAGGGCGGAGUCACCUCACAGCCCCACCCAUUCAGGCUCAAUGAGCCCCACACCGAAUGGAGACGCAGCGAGACAUGAAAAUGGGUCACCGAGCAAUUUCGAACCAACUGCGAAACCUGCGUUCACACGCCAGAGCUCCAGAACGGUGUCCUUCAGGAUGAUGAAGAAGAAGGAAGAAGAAAACAUGCCGCUACAGAGAAGUGCAAGUGUGCGGAUUGCAGCGAAGACCUUUGAAUCCAAUGAGGGAUCCAAACAAGAGGAGGAGCAGCAGACCCCGUUUCAGAGAAACUCCCGACAGAGGUUAUCAUCUCACUCCAUUCAGGAGAAAAUGGAACGACUGGCUCAAGCCUCACAGAAAUGGGAAAUAUCCAAAUCCCCAGUGGUGCACCAGACUGUGUGUUUAGCGGAUGAGGUGUCAAGGAAGAGGGAGCUGUUUGAGAAAGAACAGGAGGGAUCCGACAGAAGCCAUGUGUUCUCCAAACAGGAAUUCCGCAACUUUUCUUCAGGAAUCUCUGAUCGAAUUAAUCGCUGGGUUCAGAAGAAAACAUUUACUGUGUCAUCAUCAUCCCCAUCAUCAUCAUCAUCAUCUCAUAGUCCUUUGGAUCUGAGACAUGUGAGCAUCUCCAGUAAGAAAAGUUUGUUUGAAAGAGGACAAGACCAGGAGCACAAGUGACACUCUCACGGAUAAAGACAAAGUUUAAUGAGAUUCAUUUGAUCAUGUGUCUCUGCAGAUUUUGAAGGAAGCUUGAUCGACUCUUUCAGACACUCAGUGCCAAGGAUUGUCUCUUAACUCCUUUUCCUUCUGCUUCUUUACGUUGGCUAAUUCCUCAGCACUUUUAAGGCAUAGUACUGAUCUACAUUAUUUGGGUAAAUUCAAGGCUUAUGUUAUUGGUUGUGAAUGUGUGUACUGAUGGAUUGCGGAAUGCAACAGGACUGUAUUAUAGAGUCUUUACAUAGAAACUGAACAUCACAGGGUUUAUCUGACAGCAGGAACACAGACAUACAGCUUCUUUGUGUCUGUGCCAGACACUCCUCUUCCUUGUAGCUUGAUAUUUGUGCUGUUGAUAAGGAGAAAGAGGCGUAAUCUAUGACCUGAGCCAUAACUCAAGGUACAAGGUACAACUGUAAUAUCAUGAAUGUCUGUUUCAGUGAACCAGACUGGAAAUAACCUGAAUGAUUCAUUUGUUAUGAAGCUGGAAUCGUGCUCUGAAGCUGACCUAUGCUCUUGCUGCUGUUUUAACUUGCCGGAGACUUAAGUCAUAAUAAGUAAACGUAAUUUAGACGUAAUCUAUAGAGAAAUGUUCCCUAUCAAGCCCUUUGCAAACUGACUUCAAUCCAUUCAAUUCAAUACAAAUAAAUACAAUUGUAUUAAUAACA